AGAGUUUGAUCAUGGCUCAGAUUGAACGCUGGCGGCAGGCCUAACACAUGCAAGUCGAACGGUAACAGGAAGAAGCUUGCUUCUUUGCUGACGAGUGGCGGACGGGUGAGUAAUGUCUGGGAAACUGCCUGAUGGAGGGGGAUAACUACUGGAAACGGUAGCUAAUACCGCAUAACGUCGCAAGACCAAAGAGGGGGACCUUCGGGCCUCUUGCCAUCGGAUGUGCCCAGAUGGGAUUAGCUAGUAGGUGGGGUAACGGCUCACCUAGGCGACGAUCCCUAGCUGGUCUGAGAGGAUGACCAGCCACACUGGAACUGAGACACGGUCCAGACUCCUACGGGAGGCAGCAGUGGGGAAUAUUGCACAAUGGGCGCAAGCCUGAUGCAGCCAUGCCGCGUGUAUGAAGAAGGCCUUCGGGUUGUAAAGUACUUUCAGCGGGGAGGAAGGGAGUAAAGUUAAUACCUUUGCUCAUUGACGUUACCCGCAGAAGAAGCACCGGCUAACUCCGUGCCAGCAGCCGCGGUAAUACGGAGGGUGCAAGCGUUAAUCGGAAUUACUGGGCGUAAAGCGCACGCAGGCGGUUUGUUAAGUCAGAUGUGA
rnacentral:rRNA from 1 species